ACGGAAGGCAGCAGUGGGGAAUAUUGCACAAUGGGGGAAACCCUGAUGCAGCGACGCCGCGUGAGUGAAGAAGUUAUUCGUAAUGUAAAGCUCUAUCAGCAGGGAAGAAAAUGACGGUACCUGACUAAGAAGCCCCGGCUAACUACGUGCCAGCAGCCGCGGUAAUACGUAGGGGGCAAGCGUUAUCCGGAUUUACUGGGUGUAAAGGGAGCGCAGACGGCUUUGCAAGUCUGAUGUGAAAGGCAGGGGCUCAACUCCUGGACUGCAUUGGAAACUGUAGGGCUAGAGUGUCGGAGAGGUAAGCGGAAUUCCUAGUGUAGCGGUGAAAUGCGUAGAUAUUAGGAGGAACACCAGUGGCGAAGGCGGCCUGCUGGACUGUUACUGACGCUGAGGCACGAAAGCGUGGGGAGCAAACAGGAUUAGAUACCCUGGUA
rnacentral:rRNA from 1 species